CGGCGGGCACGCGACUGGCGAUAGGCGCUGCACUUUUUCAGGUGCGUUGCGCUGACGUGGACUACCACUGGGGAGCGUGCUGCCUGCGGUCUCGAGCAGGUGUUCAGCCGUUCGCCUGGGCAGCCCUU
rnacentral:ncRNA from 2 species